AACGCACCUUGCGCUCCUUGGCAUUCCGAGGAUGCACGCCUGUUUGAGUGUCAUAAAAAUUCUCAAAUCCACUUCCUGGAGAACUGGGUUUGGAUCAGUGGAGGCAUUAUGAGGGUUGCUUCGCAGUUGAAGAAGCCCCCCACUCCUCCAAAAUGCAAUGAAUAAGUGAGGGCUGUGAUUGUUGCAUGUCUGUCGCUGCUGGCAUGGUUAAAAUACUCUUACCUUAUGCCGGCGACACAAAGGGACUGCCUUUCCACCCUUGGAUCUCAUUUGGUGACAAUUUUGACCUCAAAUCAGGCGGGACUACCCGCUGAACUUAA
rnacentral:misc_RNA from 1 species